CAGCCGCCGCGGGAAUACGAAGGGGGCUAGCGUUGUUCGGAAUUACUGGGCGUAAAGCGUGCGUAGGUGGUGGUUUAAGUCCGUUGUGAAAGCCCUGGGCUCAACCUGGGAAUUGCAGUGGAUACUGGGUCACUAGAGUGUGGUAGAGGAUAGUGGAAUUUCCGGUGUAGCAGUGAAAUGCGUAGAGAUCGGAAGGAACAUCUGUGGCGAAGGCGACUAUCUGGGCCAACACUGACACUGAGGCACGAAAGCGUGGGGAGCAAACAGGAUUAGAUACCCCAGUAGUCCCUGUCUCUUAUAC
rnacentral:rRNA from 1 species